rnacentral:snRNA from 1 species
CCUGUCAGACCGCCGUGCAAC